rnacentral:rRNA from 1 species
CGUACACUCCUACGGGAGGCAGCAGUGGGGAAUAUUGCACAAUGGGCGCAAGCCUGAUGCAGCCAUGCCGCGUGUAUGAAGAAGGCCUUCGGGUUGUAAAGUACUUUCAGCGGGGAGGAAGGCAAUACGGUUAAUAACCGUGUUGAUUGACGUUACCCGCAGAAGAAGCACCGGCUAACUCCGUGCCAGCAGCCGCGGUAAUACGGAGGGUGCAAGCGUUAAUCGGAAUUACUGGGCGUAAAGCGCACGCAGGCGGUCUGUCAAGUCGGAUGUGAAAUCCCCGGGCUCAACCUGGGAACUGCAUUCGAAACUGGCAGGCUUGAGUCUUGUAGAGGGGGGUAGAAUUCCAGGUGUAGCGGUGAAAUGCGUAGAGAUCUGGAGGAAUACCGGUGGCGAAGGCGGCCCCCUGGACAAAGACUGACGCUCAGGUGCGAAAGCGUGGGGAGCAAACAGGAUUAGAUACCCUUGUAGUCCCA